GUUGGAUUAGCUAGUUGGUGAGGUAACGGCUCACCAAGGCGAUGAUCCAUAGCUGGUCUGAGAGGACGAUCAGCAACACUGGGACUGAGACACGGCCCAGACUCCUACGGGAGGCAGCAGUGGGGAAUAUUGGACAAUGGGCGCAAGCCUGAUCCAGCCAUGCCGCGUGAGUGAUGAAGGCCUUAGGGUUGUAAAGCUCUUUUACCAGGGAAGAUAAUGACGGUACCUGGAGAAUAAGCCCCGGCUAACUUCGUGCCAGCAGCCGCGGUAAUACGAAGGGGGCUAGCGUUGCUCGGAAUCACUGGGCGUAAAGCGCACGUAGGUGGGUUUCUAAGUCAGGGGUGAAAUCCUGGAGCUCAACUCCAGAACUGCCUUUGAUACUGGAAAUCUUUGAGUCCGGGAGAGGUGGGUGGAACUGCGAGUGUAGAGGUGAAAUUCGUAGAUAUUCGCAAGAACACCAGUGGCGAAGGCGGCUCACUGG
rnacentral:rRNA from 1 species